AUUUCCAAUUUUGCCCUUAACUUUAUUUCAAAAUUACGGACAGUUUGCUUUUAUUUCUGUUUUGGUCUUUAGUGAGAUUGUGUCAUUUAAAAGAAUUUCAGACCACACAAAUCUUUCAUUCUCGUCUUCGUAUUCCUCCCAAGUUCUCUCUCUAAACUCAGACCCAUCCUCUAUUCUCUCUCUCUCCGUUUUUGAAUUUAUUUAUUAUUUUGUUUAUGAAUUUGAUGAUCUGUGAUUUUUGUUUGCAGAAGAAGGAAAAUAUCACUCCGAUUGGCUUGAAGAUCGUGCUCACGAACCCAGCUCUCUGCCAAAGCCUCAAGAUCCACUCCCUCUGCAAACAACAGGCAAUGAAGUGCCAAAAUCGAUGGUUUCUAACGAGAGAACUGAGAAGCAGCUCCACCAAAAUCGAUUCCUCCACUCUCUGUGAUUUUAAUUUCUUUAUUAUCUCCUAAAUUUCCUGCAUAAUCUUUUCUGAUGCUUGGCAGGGACUCGACGAACUGGAGGAAACCGAUUUCAGUAAUCAAAGGGUGGUUCUCGCCCUCUAUGAGACCAUGUACUCUGAUUUUAAUUUCUCU